rnacentral:rRNA from 1 species
UACGUAGGUGGCAAGCGUUGUCCGGAUUUACUGGGUGUAAAGGGCGUGCAGCCGGGCUGACAAGUCAGAUGUGAAAUCCCGCGGCUCAACCGCGGAACUGCAUUUGAAACUGUCAGUCUUGAGUACCAGAGAGGUCAUCGGAAUUCCUUGUGUAGCGGUGAAAUGCGUAGAUAUAAGGAAGAACACCAGUGGCGAAGGCGGAUGACUGGACGGCAACUGACGGUGAGGCGCGAAAGCGUGGGGAGCAAACAGG